AGUGCGUUCAUAAGGAGGCUGUCAGUUGCAAGGAAGGUCGGGAAGAACCGGGCGAGAAAAAGUGCAGCUUUAGUUGUGUCGCCAGCACCCCGAGCAACUUGCACAAAUGAUAAUGCCACUUCUGAACUGCAGGCCCUAAGCUCCUCAAGUAUGACUGGUGCAUCACUUGACAUGGAAAGAAUAAGAACCCUGCUCACGGUGACGCUCCCAGACUGCUGCUAUAGACACAUGGAGCCUCUCCCACAGUACUUGUUGGUGGAGGAAAUAGGAAGAUGACAUUGCCAGCUGAUGAGCUCCAAGUAACAGCACCUCACAUUUACGGCGGUCUAGACAAGAUAUGUAUUUUUGCUGGCAGCCAAGCUGAAGUCAUCAUUCUCUCCACGUCUGGAUUACAACGGGCACUUAUUUUUUGCCUUUUGAGAUAUUAUCUUAGGAACCUAGAAUAUCCAUUAGCAUUUUACCAAAUGCUUGCU